GCAAAGGCUGUGGCUUUAGUGAUGGAUUAGAGGUGUGAGGUUGUCAAAGCUGUCUCCCGGGUACUUUAGAGCCGUCGCCGGAGCUGUCCAGCCGGGUGAAAGAAAAGGCUUGGCUGCCUUGCUGCUGCUUUGAGACGUGGGCCAUGCUAUCCCGGGCUCGACGGCUCGUUCGGAUAUGGCGCGGUGAUAGUGCAGCGUGGGCUCGGGAAAAGAAGUCCAAGUGCAAGCUACCCUAGACUUUAUUUCCUUGAGCUUUUGGUUCAUUCAAGAGUAUUGUAACAUUAAUAUCCCAUCCCAUCCUUUUGUAAGACCAUCAUGAACUUCCAAAGAAACAAAUUUUUGGGCAUUAUGUGGACCUUUUCUUUCGGGAACA